GAAGUUGUUCACGUCGCAAAACAAAAAAAAAUUAGAAAUAAUCAAAAUACGAGCAGGUGAUUAAAAAAAAGGGAAUCGCGACUUUUUAUAAUUAUUUUUUACGAUAUUUCAUGUUGAAGCGAACUGAAGAUAAAUCGAGUGAAAAACGGGCAGUUGUCGCCGUGCCGAAGCGCCUGGCUUUCGAAAGGGCAAAAGUGGACGCCACUUCACGUAUUUCGUUGAUAAAUCGUGAUUAUAGAUUCAUGAAGACCAUGGACCGAUGAUGGACCGUCUGCAAGGUGCCCAACGCGGUUCAGUUUCCUCGAUUUCUGAAUCGAAGAUAACGAGUUCUGGUAACUCUUCAUUCGAAAUGACGUUUGAAAUGAAUCGAAAGUUGUUCGAUGAGUAAAAAAUUAUACAUAUCGCGUUUUUUCAAGCUUAGAAAUAUA